rnacentral:lncRNA from 1 species
AUGUACUUGGGUAAGAACAGACUUACUGUCCGUCAUCUUGAAAUCAAAGUAAUUACCGAUCAAGAAUUUCUGGUUGCUUGCUUCUUCAAUACGAUACUUGUUGUCCAAUGCCAACCAUAAUUCUUUUGCUGUACCGAUAGUCCUGUGUGCGCUGCAAACAGAAUCUGAUAGUGCAUUUAGAAUAUGGCCUCUACACAGAAAAUCAUCAUCCUUCCGUUUCUUCCGCUGUUCCUGUAAUUCCUUCUUGCGUUCAUCUGAAUCAUCUAUUUUUUCUUCUGGAAUAGGCACGAGAUCAUCACUCAAAAUGUAGGACAGUUUGAUUGCUGUCAAGAAGAAUAAAAUCUUCUCCUGCCAACGCGUGUAGUUAUGUCCAUCAAAUCAAUCAAGACGAAUCAAAUCUUGAUUCAUGACUUGAAUUGAGGGUGUCACAGAUUCAUUUACUGUCAGAUCUUGAAACAAAGACAUCUCUUAAAACUGUUGAUAAUAAUGUAGGGAAAUCUGAAUACGUUAAUGAACUCCAAGGCACGAAAUGAAACGUUAUCUUUUAAGAGAUGUUUCUCCCCUAUUCAACAAAGUCACAACAGGGUAUAAUAGAAAAUCUCUCUCAGGAUACAAUGGAGGCGUUUGAUUCAAAUUGUGACUAUUUAAUCAAACCAAGAAGACACUUGAAUAUAACUGAUUGAUGUCAAGAGAAAGAAGGAAAAAUAAAUUGUUUUUAAUGUGUUUGCAAAUGAGAAUUCGCCCAAAAUUUAUAGACACUGAGGCAACUGUUUGAAUAGGUGUAUCCCUUGGAAGUGACUGUUAAAAAUGAACAGAUGUACCUAUUCAAAAAACUUUUGAAAAUAAAAUUAUCUUUCGGGGGGCGUUGCCCCCGAGCCCCCCGACCCCCGCGACCUGACCGGGCAGGUCGAACCCUGUUGCGCAACGGCAAACACUAAUUCGGGCGGCAAAUCAUUCGCAAAACAAAAAAUUAAACACAUGCAAAAUGAUGAAAAAUAUCUAACACAGAAGAUAAACUGUUUGGAUCCUGACCAUGCUGUAAAUCCUCUACUAUUCUGAGCAACAACCGCUGCCAAUGAGAAAAGAGACCUUCAUGGUAAGUUCUCUUCUAUUCCUUUACAUAGCUGUAAGCAUAUAAAAAUUAUAACUAUCAAACGUGUGAUUUUUUUCAAUUAAUAAUACUCUUCUCCCCAGAUGCAGAACAUGAUCAGGAGAGAAAAAAAUUUAUUUGAAUUGAGCAGAAAAAGACGCCAUAUGGUUCUAAAUAUAAGAAGGCAAACUGUGAGGCACGCAUACGGGCACAGGACAAACACGUAAUGUUUUAAAAGUAGAACACAGGCACAGUAGUGACACGUUUACCAGAAUGCUUUAAAGUUAUGCAUAUUAUAUCAUAAAUUUUCUUCAAUACUUCAUUUUUCAAUAAAAAUCAAUACUUUUUUUAGCUAUGAUUUGAAUUUUGCAAGAGAAAUCUUUUAACUUAAAAGAAGACUGGCUAUUUAUUGUAUUAAGAUAACUUCAGACUGCAUUAUCUAUUACAAGUUCACUUAGGCCUCGCGCAAAAAACCGAAAAAUCAACAAAACCAAUGAAACGGAACCGACUCGGGUCAGCUCGCGUAAGUUUGACAUAGGUAAUUGGUUUGGUUUGGUUUUCUUUUAAAAAAAACCAUGGCACAUGACGGAGGGUUUCCUGAAAGUUUCCAAGUCUUGCGACUCUAAUAGAAACAAAUGGUAAGCUCUCUAUGGGUCGGUUCAGUUAUGGUUUCAAGUCUCAAAUCAUUGGUUAAUCGAACCAACCCAACCCACUUACACAUUUACCUUUUUUGAAUUUAAGAGAAAUAAAAAUCGAAAGUUAAACCCUAAUCUCAUAAAUAUAUCAGAGUUCCCUCCAAUCUAUGAUUUUGUCGAUAAGUAAUAACACUGAGAAUUUCUUUUCACGAGCUCAUUAUGUUAUACUUUGCAUUUUUCCCCUACUUAAGCUGUCAAACUACGUAAUACAUAAAAAAAAAAUUUCUUAAAUUUUGUGUUAAUCCAUCUUUAUUAAUCUGAUUUUAUUUGUUAGUCAAUAAUUCUUGUAAUAUAACAUUAUUUGGUUAUUUAAGUUAUUGUAAUCUAAGUGACCCCAAAACUCGAACAAUUUUUGUUUUAAAAGAAGUUCAAUUUGGACUAAAAGUUCAAAUCGAUUAACCAAACCGAACCAACUAAGUGGGUUUGUUUGAGUAAAAAUUCGCUUAAACCGACUAAUUUGAUUUUGGUUUCAGGUUGGAGUCAAAACCGAUCCAAACCAAACUGCGCCCACGCCUAGUUCAAUGAGUCACUAAAAAUCCCAUUAGCAACUCUUCAUGAAAUUCAGACCAUUUGUUCGAAGUUCAUCUUGGUGCUUUUGCAUUUACCCUUGUAACUUCCCAAACACCACUCAUAUCUUGAUAAUUUUUCAGAAAGAGAACACUUCAAGGAAGCCUAAAAUUAUUAAUGAUGCAAGAAAAUAAUGUUAAUGGAUUUUACUGGUUAGACAUCCAUAAUCCGGUAAGAGCCACAAACAUUCACACACUUGUAGAACUGCAUAAUAUUUGCCUCUUUUGAUGAUAGUUCAUUUACAACUGUAAGUAAUCAGGUAUAUCAUAAAUGUACUAAAAAGCAUGAAACUUACAGCCCGGUAAUGAAAACAAGAGUUAUCAGCAACAUGAAGCCCAGACCAAUCUCGAGACUUCUGCAACUCGUGGAGCACCGGGUACAAGCACUA